CAAUACCGCUGACGACCGGCGCACGGGUGAGUAACACGUAUCCAACCUUCCCAUAACUCGGGGAUAGCCUUUCGAAAGAAAGAUUAAUACCCGAUAGUACUUUAUUAAGGCAUCUUAAGAAAGUUAAAGAUUUAUUGGUUAUGGAUGGGGAUGCGUUCCAUUAGAUAGUUGGUGAGGUAACGGCUCACCAAGUCUUCGAUGGAUAGGGGUUCUGAGAGGAAGGUCCCCCACAUUGGUACUGAGACACGGACCAAACUCCUACGGGAGGCAGCAGUGAGGAAUAUUGGUCAAUGGGCGAGAGCCUGAACCAGCCAAGUAGCGUGAAGGAUGACGG
rnacentral:rRNA from 1 species